rnacentral:misc_RNA from 1 species
AACAUCGCGCACCUGCGGGAACCUGCGGAGGGAUCAUUACAGAGUUGCAAAACUCCCUAAACCAUUGUGAACGCUACCUAAACCGUUGCUUCGGCGGGCGGCCCGGGUCCUUCCCGGCGCCCCUCGGCCCUCGCGGGCGCCCGCCGGAGGUAAACCAAACUAUUGCAUUGUAUGGCCUCUCUGAGUCUUCUGUACUGAAUAAGUCAAAACUUUCAACAAUGGAUCUCAGAUCGGAAGAGC